UUAAAUCAUAUGUGAUUUCUUAGAUCGUACCGUUCCCUCGGAAUCGGGUGGAUAACUGUGGUAAUUCUAGAGCUAAUACAUGCAAUCAAGCUCAGACCUUCGGGGACGAGCGCUCAUAUUAGACCAAGGCCAACCUGCUUCGCUUGCACUGUCAGUCGCGCUGUGGUGACUCAUGGAUAUCCAUCAGUUGAUCGCACGACCUUUGCGUCG
rnacentral:rRNA from 1 species